GACUGGGCUAGCUCCGUCCUCCGUCUCUCUCUCUCUCUCUACUUGACGGCGUGUAUGUACGCGGUUAAGGGCGCUCGAAAUACUACUACGAAACUGUCCGUGUAGUAGUGCGUUUACCGAACGGUGGCGGCGGCUCAUACUGUCAGGAACGCGCUGAGAUUAUCGGUGCCCGGAGCAAUCGUAUUAAAGUUUACGUCAUGAUUUAUAUCCGAGGAUUUAUGGCCUAUCACAAAAAAUCAAGAUUGAUAUCUUUGCGCAUAUGUAUUAUUUUUCUAUGAAAAUUUAUCUCGUUAGAUCCUUACAUUGAUCCUUACAAUGAUUAACGUAAUAAUGCGAGAUCUUUUUUUGAGAAAAGCAGAAAUUGAAUAAAACAUACGGAUAAUUUUCAGCGACCUGUGUAUAAGAAUUUUCUUUUUACUUGUGAUUAAUUUAUCAAAUUGCAAAAAAUGUUUCAUUACUCCAUCUAUCGUUGCUAUUCCCUUAUACGUCACUGGAAACCGCGCAUAUCAUCGAUGCGCGCGCAACGCAAUCAUCCGUCUCGACACGGCGUGGCGGUUCGCGCGAGCCCUGUUAGGGACCGGAUAUUUUGUAAACAAGCGAAGCAAAGGGUCAAUUAAUUUCAGCCGCUCUUUCCUGCUUCCCGCGUGUGUCCCCUCUCUUCCGAUGUCAUCGUUCGCGUCAUUUGUUUCACGCCGUGGCAUUUCCAUGCGAUUUCGAUCAAAUGCCAUUUUCGAAUUUAAGUGAUCAUUAGUGUUACUUCAAAGAAUGCCGAUCUCGAAUUCAUUCCAGAAGUUCCAACAACAUUUUUGCAACAACGGCAAACAAUCAACAGCGAGAUGGUUUUUUACGGCUGCGCAGGAAGGAGCAAAUUGCGGGGGAUUUUGGAAGCUAAGUUGUUCAGCGGUCUUUGAUCACGGAAUAAGACAGCUUUGAGAGAUUAUCGAAAACGACGCGCGCAGCGUGAAUCAAAGUACUGAAAUAGAAGAGAUGACUACUCGCCCGAAACUGUUCUCAGGUCGACAAGUAAAAGAAGUUACCUCCGAAAAGACGAUGAUUGAGAGAGAAACGGGUGGACAUGGACAACAUUUAUGGACCAAGAGAUCUAAUGUGCUAUCCCUUGAAUUUAUCAAGAGUAGUCAUAUGUAACACGAAAACAAAAACAAAUUACAAGGAUAAAUCACAAGCCCUACGCGAGAAAGAUCCUGGAAGGAUCCAUUAUUUACUCGUGGAUUCAGGAGUUUAUGAUUAUUUAGAAAAAAAUUAUUUAGAAAAAAAAACACAACAAAGAAACCGAGAAACAUUCACCGAAUUCUAUCAAGAAUUUGUGUUUUACGGAAUUGAAUCGCGAGCUCCAUGAAACUGUG